rnacentral:tRNA from 1 species
CAAGACAUGAUUUAAGUAGAAUGUUGGCUUUGGGGGCCAAUUAUGGGAGUUAAAUUCUCUCUGUCUUGA